GUGGCGGCGUGCUUAACACAUGCAAGUCGAACGCACCUUCGGGUGAGUGGCGGACGGGUGAGUAACGCGUGAGAAUCUGCCCUCAGGAGGGGGAUAACGGCUGGAAACGGCCGCUAAUACCCCAUAUGCCGCGAGGUGAAACGAGUUUUCGCCUGAGGAUGAGCUCGCGUCUGAUUAGCUAGUUGGUGGGGUAAGAGCCUACCAAGGCAUCGAUCAGUAGCUGGUCUGAGAGGAUGAUCAGCCACACUGGGACUGAGACACGGCCCAGACUCCUACGGGAGGCAGCAGUGGGGAACUUUCCGCAAUGGGCGAAAGCCUGACGGAGCAACGCCGCGUGAGGGAUGAAGGCCUCUGGGCUGUAAACCUCUUUUCUCAAGGAAGAAGAUCUGACGGUACUUGAGGAAUAAGCCACGGCUAAUUCCGUGCCAGCAGCCGCGGUAAUACGGGAGUGGCAAGCGUUAUCCGGAAUUAUUGGGCGUAAAGCGUCCGCAGGCGGUCUUGAAAGUCUGUUGUUAAAGCGUGGAGCUUAACUCCAUUUCAGCAAUGGAAACUAGAAGACUAGAGUGUGGUAGGGGCAGAGGGAAUUCCCGGUGUAGCGGUGAAAUGCGUAGAUAUCGGGAAGAACACCAGUGGCGAAGGCGCUCUGCUGGGCCAUAACUGACGCUCAUGGACGAAAGCCAGGGGAGCGAAAGGGAUUAGAUACCCCUGUAGUCCUGGCCGUAAACGAUGAACACUAGGUGUCGGGGGAAUCGACCCCCUCGGUGUCGUAGCCAACGCGUUAAGUGUUCCGCCUGGGGAGUACGCACGCAAGUGUGAAACUCAAAGGAAUUGACGGGGGCCCGCACAAGCGGUGGAGUAUGUGGUUUAAUUCGAUGCAACGCGAAGAACCUUACCAGGGUUUGACAUCCUGCGAAUCCCUUGGAAACGAGGGAGUGCCUUCGGGAGCGCAGAGACAGGUGGUGCAUGGCUGUCGUCAGCUCGUGUCGUGAGAUGUUGGGUUAAGUCCCGCAACGAGCGCAACCCACGUCUUUAGUUGCCAGCAUUCAGUUGGGCACUCUAGAGAGACCGCCGGUGAUAAACCGGAGGAAGGUGUGGAUGACGUCAAGUCAUCACGCCCCUUACAUCCUGGGCUACACGCGUACUACAAUGCUACGGACAAAGGGCAGCAAACUCGCGAGAGCUAGCAAAUCCCAUAAACCGUGGCUCAGUUCAGAUCGUAGGCUGCAACUCGCCUACGUGAAGGAGGAAUCGCUAGUAAUCGCAGGUCAGCAUACUGCGGUGAAUACGUUCCCGGGCCUUGUACACACCGCCCGUCACACCAUGGAAGUUGGCCACGCCCGAAGUCGUUGC
rnacentral:rRNA from 1 species